GAGAAGGGAGCGGGACCGGAAGGGUCGCAGCGCCCCGGCGCCCCUCACACCCACUGCGGCGGCGGCGGCGGCGGCGGCGGCGGGGCGGAGCGGAGCGGGGCGGGCCGGCGGCGGAGCCGGGGCCGCGGAGCCAGGAGUGACUAGCACGCAGCGCCGCCAGUCCGCCCGCCCGCCCUCUCCCCGUGGCGCGGCGGCGGGGAGGCGAGGAAUGUUAUAUGCAUGGAGUUAUACAGGAUGUGACUUUUUGAGAUUGGCUUUUUUCGUUGACUAUCCUGCCCCUGAGAUCCACCCAAGUUGUGGGAUCUGAAACUUGCCCACCCUUCGGGAUAUUGCAGGACGCUGCAUCAUGAGCGACAGUAAAUGUGACAGUCAGUUUUAUAGUGUGCAAGUGGCAGACUCAACCUUCACUGUCCUAAAACGUUACCAGCAGCUGAAACCAAUUGGCUCUGGGGCCCAAGGGAUUGUUUGUGCUGCAUUUGAUACAGUUCUUGGGAUAAAUGUUGCAGUCAAGAAACUAAGCCGUCCUUUUCAGAACCAAACUCAUGCAAAGAGAGCUUAUCGUGAACUUGUCCUCUUAAAAUGUGUCAAUCAUAAAAAUAUAAUUAGUUUGUUAAAUGUGUUUACACCACAAAAAACUCUAGAAGAAUUUCAAGAUGU
rnacentral:lncRNA from 10 species